GGAGGGAGGUAGACAGCCCAGUGGAGUGCAUCGUCACGCUAGGUGCAGAACUGGAGGUUUUCUGGUCUGUAGUGACUCUUGCGACAACCACUCGGCUUUUUACAGUCAGGGAUGGGUGACUUUAUCCUGUCCUGUUUUGGCUUUUGAGUUAGAGUGCAAACUCCAGAUGCUGCUCUCUACAUGUUUUUUGUGGCCAGCCAGCUUUGGGAUGAAGUGAGAGAUGAACGUGGUACCUUCAGGUGUUUGGAAAUUGCUCCCAAGGAUGAACUACACUUGUGGAGGUCCACAAUUUUUUUCUGAGGUCUGUCAAGCAAAGAGGCACUGAGUUUGAAGCCUGAUGAUCUGACGGUAAUGGCCUGGAUCUCAGCUUGCCUAGCAGACAUUUCAUGUUGGAUGAAAGAUCACCACCUCCAGCUCAGCCUUGCUAAGACAGAGCUGCUCAUGCUCCCAGCGAGCCCAGCAAUUCAUCACAACUUCACCAUUCAGCUAGACUCGUAAACGAUUACGCCAUCCAGGACAGCCAGAAAUCUUGGAGUUGUGUUUGACGAUCAGUUGAACUUCGCAGACCACAUCGCAAGGACUGCCCAAUCGUUCUGAUUUGCCUUGUACAACAUUAGGAAUAUCAAGCCCUUCCUAUCGGAGCAUGUUACACAACUCCUCAUCCAAGCUCUUGUUCUAUCCAGGCUGAACUAUUGCAAUGUUCUUCUGGCAGGCCUUCUAACAUGUACUAUCAAACCUCUGCAAUUGAUCCAGAAUGCGGCAGCAAGAGUGGUCUUCAAUGAGCCCAAGAGAGUGCAUGUCACACCUCUCUUCAUCAAAUUGCACUGGCUGCCAAUGGUUGCUCAAGUUAAUUUCAAGGUAUUGAUGCUUGCUUAAAUAACAACCACUAGCUCCGCACCCCACUAUCUAAACUCAUUACUUCAGACUUAUGUGCCCUCCAGAAGCCUGUGUUCUGCGGGUGAAUGGCGCCUCGUGGUGCCAUAUCAUAGAGGCACAAAAUCACUGUCCCGGACCUUUACCUUGACUGUUCCCUGCUGGUGGAAUGACCUGCCUAAUUCCACUCAAGUGGCUGUGUUUUUAGCCUCUUUCAAAAAACAGAUAAAGACACAUACCCAUUCAUACUAACAAACUACCUUCAUGUUUAAAAAAACAAAACAAAAUUUCCUUGCUAUGUGUACUGCUCUAAGCUAUGUGAGACUUGUAUUACAGCUCUUAUUAUAUUGUUGCCCCUUUUGUUGGAUGAAUCGCUUCUAUCGCUCUCCUCAUUUAUAAGUCGCUUUGGAUAAAAGUGUCUGCUAAAUGAAUACAUGUAAAUGUAAAUUAGCCUUUGGACUGUGCUGAAGAUCUGAUAGUGUAGGCCUAUAUCGUACAAUUUGACAUUAAAGUCUGCCUCGGUUUUGACCCAGGAUCUCACCAGGGCCAAAUCGUACAAUCUGACAAGCAACAAUAAUAAAGGACAGAAAAAAUAAUCAGCCAGUGUACAUGCGACUUUACUCAUUCCAAAAGUAUGUGAUGUGUUUCUGCUGUUGGAGACUCAGUGGAAAAGUUCUGUUCUUGUCUUAGUAAGUAUUAAACCCACCUGUCUGGUCUGGACUGGUCAAGAAACUUCUUUCUUUCAGUGGUGAUUCACUUUCCAUUUUUUGCUAAACAUUCCAUGAUAAUCACAAGGUCUAGAUGAUUCCUGCUGGAAAAGAAUUUUUGUUUGUAUAACAAUUUCAGCAGCACUGUUUCACAUGUGCCUUCUAUUUUAGUACAUAAUUGCAAUGCAAGUUAGUCAUUUUCAUAAUCUGAACAAUGACACGCUGUUUGGAUGUUACAACAUAUUCACUGUUCCAACGAAUCCCUCAAGCAAAGAACGUUCUUUUUUCUAUAUAGUAAAAUCUUGUGUUUAGAGAUGAUGUCAAGUUCAUUGUAAAUUGUGGCUGUGUGUUCAGUCAGUUUGCAGUAUGAUCUGUGGAUAUUGUCACUUGGCUGAUGAUAAAACAUUUUAAAAAAUCAGCUGAAGUUCCCAGGAAUCCGAAGGAGAGGAAUGUAGUCCCAAUGUUUGCCAUAAAAACAAGGUUUAGGAUGAUUAAGUAUGUUUAGGUUUGUAGGAUUUGCUUAUUACCACCUGGCCAUCUUUCAACAGGAGCCAAAGUAUGUGACAGUAGUGUGCACAUAUCCUAAUUUUUUACAAGAGAGCAACAAUUCACAGGAACUUUAUCGAUGUCCGCCUCUUUGAAAACAGGAGGAUGGAAUGAAGUGGGCUAAAGUGACCCAUGCUUAAAAGCUUACGUUUUUGUCUGGUACUGGUCUUGCUGGUGGACCAAGUUAAUUUCAGGUAUCUGUAAUGUGAUUGUAAUUAGUAAGAAAGCCUUUUAAGAUAUCUUUAAUUACUCUCCAACGUAUUGAUAUCUGAAAUCCAUUUCCAGAUAUUUGAAAUGGCAAAUCGAACAUAAAAAAAUUAUCAUUUUCACUAGUUGUAAUUCAGUUGUUGAUAUAAGGAA